GACGAACGCUGGCGGCGUGCUUAACACAUGCAAGUCGAACGAUGAACCUCUUCGGAGGGGAUUAGUGGCGAACGGGUGAGUAACACGUGGGCAAUCUGCCCUGCACUCUGGGACAAGCCCUGGAAACGGGGUCUAAUACCGGAUACGACCAUCUCGGGCAUCCGAUGGUGGUGGAAAGCUCCGGCGGUGCAGGAUGAGCCCGCGGCCUAUCAGCUUGUUGGUGGGGUGAUGGCCUACCAAGGCGACGACGGGUAGCCGGCCUGAGAGGGCGACCGGCCACACUGGGACUGAGACACGGCCCAGACUCCUACGGGAGGCAGCAGUGGGGAAUAUUGCACAAUGGGCGGAAGCCUGAUGCAGCGACGCCGCGUGAGGGAUGACGGCCUUCGGGUUGUAAACCUCUUUCAGCAGGGAAGAAGCGCAAGUGACGGUACCUGCAGAAGAAGCACCGGCUAACUACGUGCCAGCAGCCGCGGUAAUACGUAGGGUGCGAGCGUUGUCCGGAAUUAUUGGGCGUAAAGAGCUCGUAGGCGGCUUGUCGCGUCGGAUGUGAAAGCCCGGGGCUUAACCCCGGGUCUGCAUUCGAUACGGGCAGGCUAG
rnacentral:rRNA from 1 species